rnacentral:rRNA from 1 species
AUUGAACGCUGGCGGCAGGCCUAACACAUGCAAGUCGAGCGAGCGGCGGACGGGUGAGUAAUGUAUGGGGACUGCCCGAUAGAGGGGGAUAACUACUGGAAACGGUAGCUCAUACCGCAUACUAUCGGAUAACCCAUAUGGGAUUAGCUAGUAGGUGAAGUAAUGGCUCACCUAGGCGACGAUCCCUAGCUGGUCCGAGAGGAUGAUCAGCCACUCUGGAACGAAGACACGGCCCAGACUCCGCCGGAGGCAGCAGUGGGGAAUAUUGCACAAUGGGCGCAAGCCUGAUGCAGCCAUGCCGCGUGGAUGAAGAAGGCCCUAGGGUUGUAAAGUACUUUCAGUCGGGAGGCGUUACCGACAGAAGAAGCACCGGCUAACUCCGUGCCAGCAGCCGCGGUAAUUC